rnacentral:rRNA from 1 species
CCUACGGGAGGCAGCAGUGAGGAAUAUUGGUCAAUGGGCGCGAGCCUGAACCAGCCAAGUAGCGUGAAGGAUGACUGCCCUACGGGUUGUAAACUUCUUUUAUAAAGGAAUAAAGUGAGGCACGUGUGCCUUGUUGUAUGUACUUUAUGAAUAAGGAUCGGCUAACUCCGUGCCAGCAGCCGCGGUAAUACGGAGGAUCCGAGCGUUAUCCGGAUUUAUUGGGGUUAAAGGGAGCGUAGAGGGGUUGUUAAGUCAGUUGUGAAAGUUUGCGGUUCAACCGUAAAAUUGCAAUUGAUACUGGAGGUCUUGAGUACAGUUGAGGUAGGCGGAAUUCGUGGUGUAGCGGUGAAAUGCUUAGAUAUCACGAAGAACUCCGAUUGCGAAGGCAGCCUGCUGGACCGCGACUGACGUUGAGGCUCGAGAGCGUGGGUAGCGAACAGGAUUAGAUACCCGUGUAGUC